AUGGAAGCAAGAAACUGUAGUGAUAUGAUGACAGGAUCGUGAACUGAGGAAUUAUAGGUGGCCACUCGGAGCUCUAAAAGGCAAAGUGGUGGAUUCUUCCCUGAGUCUCCAAAAGGGAGAAGCCCAGCUGGCACACUGUUUUUAGACUUCUGACCUCCAGAAUGGGAAUCUCAGUUCUCUGACCAAGGAUUGAACCCAGGAUACAGCAAUGAAAGCAUCGAAUCCUAACCAGGCCACCAGGUAACUUGCAGGAGGGGGAAAAAAAGGUUUUCAGAAACAUGUCAAGCUUUUCCUAAAGUCAUAUGAAAGAACAAUCAAGAGUCGUCAAGACAACUUUGAAGAUAUUGAACAGGGUGCGAAUGAUCCUCCAGGUGGAUUCUUUACGAUCUGAG
ensembl:lncRNA